AAUUCCAUACCCACCUUGUGUGCAACGUUUGAAUCUACUUAUGCGUGCUUAUCUCUUUCGAGUGGGCCGCGUAAGUCAGAAUCUUUAAUCCAUUAAUCUAUUUAAAACAGUUUUGUCUGAAGCAAUGUAUCAUUGAAUUGACCUAAUUCGAAAAUACAACUUUCAACAACGGAUCUCUUGGCUCUCGCAUCGAUGAAGAACGCAGCGAAAUGCGAUACGUAAUGUGAAUUGCAGAAUUCAGUGAAUCAUCGAAUCUUUGAACGCACAUUGCGCUCUCUGGUAUUCCGGAGAGCAUGCUUGUUUGAGUAUCAGUAAAACACCCUCAAUUCUCUCGUUUUUCGAGGAAAUUGGACUUGAGCGAUCCCAACGGCGGUUUAAAAACCCGCUGGCGGGUCGCUUGAAAUGCAGGUGCGGCUGGACACAUCUUCUGAGCUAUAAGCAUUACUUAUUUAGUCCCGUCAAACGGAUUAUUUCUAUUGCUGCAGCUAACAUAAAGGUUGAUUGUCCUGUGCCCGACUGAUGCAGGAAAACAAAGAGAAAUCUUUGUUCAACUCGAUCUCAAAUCAAGUAAGACUACCCGCUGAACUUAA
rnacentral:rRNA from 1 species